UACGUAGGGUGCAAGCGUUAAUCGGAAUUACUGGGCGUAAAGCGUGCGCAGGCGGUUUUGUAAGUCUGACGUGAAAUCCCCGGGCUCAACCUGGGGAAUUGCGUUGGAGACUGCAAGGCUAGAAUCUGGCAGAGGGGGGGUAGAAUUCCACGUGUGAGCAGUGAAAUGCGUAGAGAUGUGGAGGAACACCGAUGGCGAAGGCAGCCCCCUGGGUCAAGAUUGAC
rnacentral:rRNA from 1 species